UCAGGACUUGGGGUGGCUCACGUUCGUGAGUCGUCCCGGAGCUAACGCGUUAAGUCCUGCACCUGGGGAGUACGGUCGCAAGACUGAAACUCAAAGGAAUUGACGGGGGCCCGCACAAGCGGUGGAACAUGUGGUUCAAUUCGACGCUACGCGAGGAACCUUACCUGGGCUCGAAAUGCUCUUGACCAGCUGUAGAAAUAUGGCCUUCCCGCAAGGGACAAGAGUAUAGGCGCUGCAUGGCUGUCGUCAG
rnacentral:rRNA from 1 species